UUGGCUGCUGUUCCUUUUUGGCAUCUGCAAGUCAACUUAAUAAGAUCUCAGCUUUCCUGUUGCCUCCCCAGUGAAACAGAAACCAGACCACAAGGGGGUCUGGAGAUAGUUACCCCUGCCUCCUGGUGGGCAGCAGAGCUGCCUCAGAGACAGCACCAGGAACGACUGCUGGAGACUGUCACUCUGGCUUCCCCCCGCACGAGGGUGAGGGAAGCUGGGGCACCCUGGAAGGUCUUGUUUCAAGCAGGGGAAAAGAUGGCGGGUGCUGGGCCCAUAAGCUGGUGCUGGGCUCCUGGCUCUCCUGCCUUUCGUCUUUGAGUUUUAGACAGUCAUUAGUCUUGUCGCUCAGGACUCAGGGCAUAAAAGAGCACCAGGCACAGUGCAGAAUGUGCCGGGCUCAGUUGCUGUGGUCUGGGGUGAUUUCACCCACGGCCCACUCCUGCGCACUUUGUGAUUCCUGGCCUCUUCCUGGAGCAGGCCACCUUUGGGUCAUCUCUGGUCAGUCCCAACUCUGUCUUCACUCUUGGCUCGAAUAUCACUUUGUCCCUUUAGCAACUGGUAAGGGGCUGUCUUCAGGGUCCACUUACGGUCCCCUGAUGUCCAGAACAUUCCCUUUAGUCAGGUCCCUCCUCCCUUCUCUUGCCUACCCUCACUCUGCUGCUCACCUGUGGGCCAGGGUGGCAGGGGGCUCCUUCACCUCGGAGCUGAGGCAGAGAGUCCCACAGCUGGGAAUGCUACCAACAGUGUCAGAAGGGAAGGGGAUAGGGGGCAGGUCACCAGGUCACCAGGUACCUUCCAGGAGCCGGGAGCUGGACAGUUUGGCCGAUUCCGAGGUCUCGGCUCUCCUGCCAGAACCUUUUUCCUCUCCAUGGUGGUUUUCAUUAUUUUUCAUUCCCAGACUAUUUUGGAAGCUGGCUGCCAUGAGAACAGAGUCUUUGGAAAACCCCCGCCUCUUUUCUCCUCCUGCCCCCACCCAUUCCCUCUUAAUUGGUUUUUAGUUCCCUGCCUUUCAGGCCUGUCUGUUUACUUUGAUUGCAACUCCACAGGAAAAAAAUCUUUAAUGAAGCAGCUUGCAGGGAGAGCCAUUAGCAGCAGCCUGCCUCAAGGGAGGGAAGGAGAAAGGGAGCUGGGUGGCGCCUGGCCUGGGCCUCAGCCUCAACAGCCCGCGGAAGAGGCCCAGGCCAGGCAGGGGUGCAGCUCGUUUGGGUCAGUCCUUCUUCAGGUACAGUGUGGAGAUGAAGGAACAGAGUGGCCUUGCUAAAGCUGUCUGCAGCCUCAGCCAAGAUGAAGCAGCCCAGAGAAUCCUCAGGGGCUCCCCCAGUCCUCCCAGAAAGUGACUGGCUUGGGAAGAUGCACUUCUGGCCAGGGAAGGUCAGAUGGGGGCUUGUGGGAAGCGCUUCAUGUUCCUAAUAGGAAUGAAACAGGGAAAGUCGGGUUUAAUUCUUCCUUGGUUGCUCCUGUGCUGGUUCCCUGGGGGUCAUCCCGGCCCUGAAGGAGGUCAGAAUGAGGAUGAAGCCUUCGCAGGGAGGACUGCAGAGUGUCUGAAAAUGUUGGCCACCAGCUAGAGUGGCCCUGUCUCUGGACUUUUUGCUACUUAAAUUUUUUUAUUAUUUAAAGUAGUGUAAACCAUUG